rnacentral:rRNA from 1 species
AGUGGAUGGGGAGCAACCUAGUUGUGCGUGUGUAAAGGUAGUGCCAAGAAAAGCGAUGAUCAUGUUGAAAAUCAAUUCCCGGUACCCGAAACCGACACAGGUGGGCAAGUAGAGAAUACUAAGGGGCGCGAGGUAACUCUCUCCAAGGAACUCGGCAAAAUGACCCCGUAACUUAGGGAAAGGGGUGCCACCGAGAGGUGGUCGCAGUGAAGAGGCCCAGGCGACUGUUUAGCAAAAACAUAGGUCUCUGCAAACUCGAAAGAGGAGGUAUAGGGGCUGACGCCUGCCCAGUGCCGGAAGGUUAAAGAAGUUGGUCAGUUUUAGGAUGAAGCUAGCGACUGAAGCCCCGGUGAACGGCGGCCGUAACUAUAACGGUCCUAAGGUAGCGAAAUUCCUUGUCGGGUAAGUUCCGACCCGCACGAAAGGCGUAACGAUCUGGGCGCUGUCUCGGAGAGAGGCUCGGCGAAAUAGGAUUGUCUGUGAAGAUACGGACUACCUGCAUUUGGACAGAAAGACCCUAUGAAGCUUUACUAUAGCUUGGAAUUGUGUUCGGGCUUCCUGUGCGCAGGAUAGGUGGGAGGCGUAGAAGGUAUUCUUGUGGGGAUACUGGAGCCAACGGUGAGAUACCACUCUCAGGAGGCUAGAAUUCUAACUUAAUUAAGGACAGUUUCAGGUGGGUAGUUUGACUGGGGCGGUCGCCUCCAAAAAGGUAACGGAGGCGUACAAAGGUUCCCUCAGACUGGUUGGAAAUCAGUCGAAGAGUGCAAAGGCAGAAGGGAGCUUGACUGCGAGAAGUACAGUUCGAGCAGGGUGGAAACACGGUCUUAGUGAUCCGACGGUGCUGUGUGGAAGGGCCGUCGCUCAACGGAUAAAAGUUACUCUAAGGAUAACAGGCUGAUCUCCCCCAAGAGUUCACAUCGACGGGGAGGUUUGGCACCUCGAUGUCGGCUCAUCGCAACCUGGGGCGGAAGUACGUCCCAAGGGUUGGGCUGUUCGCCCAUUAAAGCGGUACGUGAGCUGGGUUCAGAACGUCGUGAGACAGUUCGGUCCAUAUCCGAUGUAGGCGUGAGAAUAUUGAGAGGAGCCUUCCUUAGUACGAGAGGACCGGGAAGGACGCACCGCUGGUGUACCUGUUAUGAUGCCAAUUGUAAACGCAGGGUAGCCAAGUGCGGAGAGGAUAACCGCUGAAAGCAUCUAAGUGGGAAGCCCACCUCAAGAUGAGUAUUCUGGUGUAAGGUCACGGGAAGACGACCCGUAAAUAGGCACGAGGUGGAAGUGCAGAGAUGUAUGAAGCCGAAGUGUACUAAUAGACCGUCGGCUUGAC